rnacentral:rRNA from 1 species
CCUACGGGGGGCUGCAGUGGGGAAUAUUGGGCAAUGGGCGCAAGCCUGACCCAGCAACGCCGCGUGAAGGAAGAAGGCUUUCGGGUUGUAAACUUCUUUUCUCAGGGACGAAGCAAGUGACGGUUCCUGAGGCAUAAGCUACGGCUAAUUACGUGCCAGCAGCCGCGGUAAUACGUAGGUGGCAAGCGUUGUCCGGAUUUACUGGGUGUAAAGGGCGUGUAGGCGGGGAAGCAAGUCUGAUGUGAAAACCACGGGCUCAACCUGUGGCCUGCAUUGGAAACUGUAGUACUUGAGUACUGGAGAGGCAGACGGAAUUCCAAGUGUAGCGGUGAAAUGCGUAGAUAUUAGGAAGAACACCAGUGGCGAAGGCGGUCUGCUGGACAGCAACUGACGCUGAGGCGCGAAAGCAUGGGGAGCGAACAGGAUUAGAUACCCGUGUAGUC